UAAAAAGCGAAAAGACUUUUCCAUAAAGUCUAGAAGCCUAGAGUACGGAAAAUUAUUAACAUUAAUUUUUGUUAAUUUUUAUCUUUUUGUUUUGUAAUGUUGAGGAAGAUUCAUGCAAUUUAGUUCAGUCUAGCAUUGAACUUGCCACGUAGCCCACACAGGUCUGGAAUUUGAAAUCAGUCGGCCUCAACCUCUCAAGUGUUGCUUACAGGUAUCACUUAAAGUUCACUAAACUAAUUGUAUUAAUCACAAGAGGUGGAGAUAAACAUCUUUGGGGGGGGGUAAUCUGUAACAGAGCAAGUACUACCAGUCAUACCCUCACACCUCAUAAACUCACGUAUCUCUGAAAUACAGAUAAUAAUUACUGUUCCACCAAACAAUUACUGACUCAGACUGUAGAAAAGAUCCUAAAUAUGCUUUUUGUAUAUCAGUAAGGGCCAGGAAAAAAAUGGGUGGGAAAUUUAAUCCCUUAAACUUAAUUUCUCCCUUAAAGUAUUUAUUCAAUAGUAAUUUAAGCAAUCACUGUGUUCCAAAACUUAAGUAGCUGUCAGGGCUGAGGAAAUCUAUACUCCCAUAGGCAGAUGUGGCUCAACUCCCAGCGGCACUCAGGGAGGAUGAGGGAGAUCUUGAGAGAACAAGGACAACCUGGGGCCAUGGGCUCCCAGAUCAUCUGGAGCUUGAGACUCUUCUCUCCAAAGAAGCUCACAGCUUUAAUUACUGUCCUGUACUUGACUCUUCAACAAAGGACAUUAAACAGGCAAACCCAAGGGAUUUAAAAUUGAAGAAGCAACCCACUGGGGACAUGAAAUAUGGUACAGUAUCCAGAAUCUUUCCAGUGCCAGCCCAUCCACAAGCUAGGCAAGGGCUCUGCUAUUAGGUGAUAGCAUCAACCCAGAAUUGCCAGAACCAUGAGAUGAACACAUCACCCCCCUCCUCCCAAAUUCUGUUCAUACCCUGUAAUCCAUAUGGCUUAAAUGUGGUGGGAUUUGUGAUCCCAGCACUCCCGAAGGCAAGGGCAUGAAAAUCCAUGACUUCAAAGCCAGCCUGGUUUACAGAGCAAGUUCUAGGAUACCCAGGGCUACAUAGAGAAACCAUGUUUCAAAAAAAAAAAAAAAAAAGAGAGAGAGAGAGAAAGGGAAAGGUGUAAUUAAGACGUAAUUAAGAUCCUAGAUUGAUUUAGAGUUGACAGGGAGAAUAUCUUGAAGUAGACUUGACUUAAUCUAACAAGAGACCUUAAAAAGAGAGACACCCAGCUAGUGUGAGUUUAAGCCAGCCUGGUCUACAGAGUGAGUUCUAAGACAGCCUUGAUUACACAGAGAAACUCUGACUCGAAACAAAUGAAAGGAAAGAGGAGGAAGGAAAGAAAGAGGAAAAGAAAGAAAACAUGAGCUCCCAUGUUCCUGCUCUAGCCCCAGGAUUCCUGUGACAAACCUGGACAUGUUGAUUGGGGCGGAUUGGAAAGACUUUGGAAUAGAGCCUCUGAGCGAUGAGAAACCAGUGAGCUGUUAUGGAGAAGCUAGAGAAAUAAGAAUGGGGCGAGCAGUGCAGAUGAUGGAGGCCUCGCUUGUAAAGUUUCUUCAGAGGGAAGCAGAGACUAUCAGGCCAUUCGUGUGAAAUAUCUGUGGUGUUCGGUGAGCUGGAGCUGAAGAACCGUCUGGGAUUAAGAAGAGACCAGCAUCAUUGAGGUGAAAUCUUUUGGGAAGUGUUUCCUUACUGUUUCAGAGGUGACCAAGAUUGUGCUGCCUCAUGCUGUCAGCCGAACUUGGUAGUUUAAAAGUCACCCAGGUGAGCCUUUAUGUAGGUCUGGGCGAAUCAAACGUAGGUUCUCCAGAAGAGCAAACAGUUUUAAACAACUGGGACAACCAGUGAACCAUCUUUCCCUACAUGUGCCUACUUUACUUCUGCUUAGUGAUGGAUCUUCUGAGACCAGAUCAUGUGCACUAGCCUACCCUGUAUAACAUCAAAAUUCAUGGUUUCAGCAAGAUUGGAUUUCACUGGUGGAGCCCAAGUAGCUCCAAGAAAACCUGGCCCUGCAGAUGCAGGCCAGCUAUGGGGUGAAGGUGCCUCUAAGACUGACUUCUGUGGGCCUCAGUCUUUCCCUGAGAGGAGAAGAGGCAGUGCUGGUCCAGAUGAGUGCAAAGAGAGGGGAAAAAGACAAACCAACCUUAUCAAAAACUCAACAGCCUCAGCACCUUGAACUGCUUACAUCUGAACAAAAAGAGCUUGAGCAAGAAACCACAGAAGUCGUGGGACAAGUCCUGUGGUCUGAAUAUAGAUUUCUGGUCUGCAGGAAGCCCCGAGGCUCUGGGUUCUUCCUGGGCUUCGGCAGGAUAGUAGGCUACAGGGUCAGUCUUGGCUGUUUCACUGGGUGAUUGUAUAAAAAGAGGAAGUGAACAACCGAAAAGAAGUCUACAGGGGAUUUGUAAAUUUCCAGGGUUUUUUUUCUUUGUGUGUGUGGAGGGGUGAUGUUUAAAUAAUAAAUGUAUGUUCUGAGCCUGGAGCACACACAAAUGCCUCAGUACCUAAAACUGAUUAAGAGGGGCUUACUUUUUAGUUUUUCAAUUGUACUGUUAUGACCAAUUUUAUGAAGGCUUCCACUACAUUUUCUCAUUUGUGGUUUUAGUUUCAGUGUGUGUUUGCUUAUGUCCUUAAUCUGCUUUGAAGGUAUUUUGUUUUAUUUUCUACCAUUAAGUCAUGUGCCCAGAACUCUCUUACUUUCUAUUAUUUUUAUUUACUUGACCUUUGUUUUUUUCUUUUUAAAUUUUUUGCCACAAGGCCUAAAAACUAUCUAAGACGGCUUUAACUCAGUGAGGCCCAGACAGCUUUGGAUUUGAAAUCCCCAGCCUCCUGGGUGUCUGGGAUUGUAAGCAUGGGCCAGCAGUCCUGACAGAUCAGAGAACAAAUGUAAAAUCUCAUCAUCACGACUCAGGACCCACUUCCUGAACCACUGAAAGGUAACCACUGAGGAUGUGGUAAGAGGAUUGGGCACCCUCAUGAGUCCUGCCCCCUAUAUCUGCCUUUAGAAGCAAUGAAACAGUAGCCCACUCCAGGUAGCUAGACCGAAAGGGAAGGAGUCACCAGCUAAGUAAGCAGAAGCAUCAGGCCCAGUCACUGCUUAAGAAGGAAGAAUGGCAAAGGGGAUGUGCUGCUUCUGUUGUCCCCACCCCUCGUGAGCGGUCAUGCUUCUGUUGGUUGGUUGCUUGUGGUUAUGGUUGCUCAAGCAGAGUUGGCAGCUAAGAAAGCUAAAGGUGAAAUGAAGGAGGCAGCAUGACCCAGACAAUGCCGGCCUCCCUGAUCCCACAUCUGAGUCAGGGAACUCCUAGGGUUUUGCUUCUGCCUCCCUGGUUGCAUCAGAUUCUCUUCUGGACACUCUAGCACUGAUAAAAUAGGAUGCCAAAAUAUGAAUCCAUAACUCUAGAUUAAGCAUGUUGAGCAAGUUCUAAUCAUAAGUACUUACACCUGACUUGAUUCAACUGCCCAGACGUCCGGCCUUAACUCACAGAAGAGGCCAAUCUAAUCAUAGUCAUACUGCCUCGUUCUUUAAAUUAGAUAAUCAUAACCCUUUACUUUGUACUUCUCUAAAUCCCUGAGGGGUUCUCUGAGGUUACUUGGGAAAUCAGCAAAGCUAGCUGUGCUUACAAGGACUUCAUAGUUGCUGUGGUGGUUGGAAUGAGGAUGGCCCCACAGACUCAUAUGUUUGAAUAUUGGUCCCCAGAUAGUGGAACUGUUUAGGAAGGACUGGGAGGUAUAGCCUUGUUGGAAGAUGUGUCUCAUAUAAGCUGGAUUAUGAGGCUUUAAAACCCUCCAGCCAUCUCUGAUGAACUCUCUGCUUCCUAUUUUUGAGCUCGAAUGUGAGCUCUCAGCUGCUGCUCUGGCACUGGGCCUACAUGUCCGCUGCCAUUCUCCCUACUAUAAUGGUAACGGACUCCCAUCCCUCUGAAACCCUCUGUAAGCCCAAUUAAAUGCUUUCUUUUCUUAAUUGCCUUGGUCAUGGUGUUUUAUCACAGCAAUUUAAAAGUACCUGAGAUAAGUGCUAUGGUGGUUUCAAUGGAAAUGGUCCCCAUGCUCAUAGGGCGUGGCACUAUCAGGGGAUAUGACCUUAUUGAAGUAAAUAUGGCCUUUUUUUAGGAGAAUUGCGUCACUGGGGAUGGACUGUGAGGUUUCAAAUGUUCAAGGCAGGCCCAGUGUCUCUUCCUGCUACCUGCUGAUCUGGACGCAGAACUCAGAGCUCUCUCCCAGCAUUAUGUCUGAAUACAUGCCACCAUGCUUUCCCUCAUGACAAUAAUAGACUGAACCUCUGAACUGGAAGGCAGCCCAGAUUAAAUGUUGUCCUUUAUAAGAGUUGCUUUGGUCAUGGUGUCUUCCCUCACCAAUAGAAACGAAGACAGUUGCCAAGAAUUGCUUUAUAAUAGAGUAGGAAGUAAAUACAAGGAAACAUUUGAGGAAGUCUAUUCGUUAUUUCCUGUCGCGUGAUGAAAUGCUGUAACUGGAAGUAACUUAAGGAAGAGUUUAUUCUGGCUUGCAGUUCCAGAAGACUAGCUGUUCAUAAUCACAGAGAAAGAAGGACUAAAAAGCUGAGAGAUCGCAUCUCAAUUGCACAUAGGAAGCAGAGAGCAAGCAGUAAGCGGGCCAAGGCCAUGAAAGCUGAAAGCAUGAAAGCAGGCCCCAGUGUGGAACUUCCUCCUCCAGCCAGGCUGCCCUGUGCAACACACUCCACCGUUGUACUGUCAAAUGUCUCCACACAGCACCACCAGAUUGGGAGCAAGUGUUCAAAUAUAUGAGCCUACGUCGGACAUUUUUCAUUCAAUCUAUAACAGAAAGCCUAAUAAAUACCAGCAUUCUUUUUCUUGUUUCCCAACUAUGGUAGUCUGAAUAAGAAUUACCCCCAUAGGCUCAUAAAUUGGAAUGCUGAACUAUGGGGGGAAGGAUUAGGAGUUAUGGCCUUGGAGAUGUGUCACUGGGGGUAAACUUUGAGGUUUGAAAAAUCCACACCAGGCCCGAUUUCUCUAUUUCUGCCUCCAAUUUGCAGAUCAAAUGUAAGCUCUGUGCUAUUGCUCCCAUGCAAUGUUGACUGGCCUCUUACCAGACUGCCAUUCUUGAUGGUUAUAGACUCACUCUCUGUCUUAGCUACUGGUCUAUUGAUGUGAAGAGACACCAUGACCAAGGCAACUCUUACAGAAGAAAGCACUUAGUUGAGGACUUGCUUACAGCUUAGGAGGGUAGUUGAUGAUCGCUAUGGUAAGAAGCCUAUGGGUGCGGCCCUAGAGCAGUAGUUGAGAGCCUUAUAUCCUGAUCUGUAGACAGCCACAAAGAGUGAGAGGUUAGGCAUGGAAUAGGUUUUGAAACCACAGUGACAUGCACCUUUGACAUACCUCCUCCUCCUAGGUCAUACCUCCUAAUCUCAUCCAGUUUCACCACCUGAGGACUAAGCCUUCAGUCAUGUGAGCCCAUGAAGGUGUGGCAUUGUCAUUCAAACAACCACACCCUCUGAAACGAUAAGCAAGCCCCUAAUUAAAUGCUUUCUUUUAUCAGUUGCUUUGGUCAUGGGAUCUCUUCACUGGAGGAGAAAAUUAGCUAAAACGCCAACUGUGAUAAAGGCUACUAGCUACAUCACAUUCAUACUGCUUUGCCUUCUCUGUGGACUGUAGUCCCUCAAGCCAUGAGCCAAAAUAAGUCCUCCAUACUUUAAAUUACUUCAUGUCAGAUAUUUUGUCACAGCAGUAAGAAGGUUAACAAAUACAUAUAUCAUCUAAUUAAAUUACUUUUUAAAAAUUUAUUUAUUUAUUUACUAUAAUUACACUGUAGCUGUCUUCAGACAUACCAGAAGAGGAUAUGAGAUCCCAUUAUAGAUGGUUGUGAGCCACCAUGUGGUUGCUAGGAUUUGAAUUUAGGACCUCUGGAAGGGCAGUCAGUGCUCUUAACCACUGAGCCAUCUCUCCAGCUCCCUAAUUAAAUUAAUUUUAAAUUUAAUAUAUUGAGGAUGGAUAUACAAGUUCAUCACUGGAUGCUUGCCUAGCAUUCAUGAAACCCUGCGUUCAUUCCCAAGUACAACUGAUUACUUAAUAAAUAAAGUUUAAGAUGUAAAAUCAACUGCAAGAAGUAUAUUUGACUAUACUCAAAUCAUCUCUGGCUUAAAUUUCCUGCUUGUAUAAAAGACACAGGAAAUGCAUAGAGAACUCAAUUAGAAAUACAAAGCUGGUAGUUUAUAGCAUAGAUAGACUUGGAAAUCAUGAUUAUCCUUUGAGCAUUUAAGGCAUAAUAAAAUAGAAGUCAAACCAGACCUUGGGAAAUAUCAAUAUUUAUGAGCCAGAAAGAAAAGAGUAGUUAAUUUCAUUUAUUUGCUUUAUUUAGGUUGUGCCUUUUCUAAAAAGUGGAAGAAAAUUGUCUCAUUUAAUCUUCACAGCAAUCUUAUAAGGAAAAAAGUAAUGUUGUUCUCAGUUGAAAUCCUGCCCCAGGCUAUACAGUUAUUUAAUGAUAAAAUUAAAGUUUGAAACAAAAAGAACAACAAUUAAAAAAACAGUCUGACUCCAGAAUACAGCAUCAUUCAAAUUAAAUACGUUCAUUGGAAAUUCUACAUGUAGUGAUAUAACAGGUGUCAUUUUUUUGUAUGGUUCUGUGUACUCUUUUUUUUUUUUUUUUUUUUAGAUUGGAUGAGUGAAAUGUCGUAUCCACACAACCCAUUGCCCUCCUCUAACGCCUUCCAUGUCUCCCAAAACAUAUCCACCUUCCAACUUCAUGUCUUAUUUAUUUUCUCUCUCUCUCUCUCUCUCUCUCUCUCUCUCUCUCUCUCUCUCUCUGUAUCUAUCUUUGUAAAAUAGCAUGCUAAGGUCAGUUAUUGCACGGGCAUGGGGCCAUCUCUUGUAGCAUGAAAAACUCACGCAGGCACGCACGAAUUCUCCCUCCUCUAGCAGCUGCCAAUUACCAACAGCUCCCCAGUAAGCAGUGGAGCCCAGAGCGAAGCUUCUCCAUUGUUCCCAUUCAUUCCGUUGCUAUGUUGAAACUCUAACCAAAUACAACCUAGAGGAGAAAGGACUUCUGAGUUCAUUUGCUGGUUAUGGUCUGCUAGCUUCCGUACAGAUCCCAGGAUCAGCUGCCCAGAGAAUGGUGCCACCCACAAUGGCACAAUGGUCUGUCCCUUCCUACAUAAAAUAACAGUCAAGAAAUCCUUCACAGACGUGCCACAAGCUGUCCUGAUAGAAACUAUUCAAUUGGAAUUCUUUUCCUGGUGAUUCUAGACUGUGUCAAAUUGAGGAGUUCAUGCUAACUAGGACAUUCAUCUAGCCUGGGAUUUUGGCUGGCUUGCUGAUUGCAGGUCUUGCAUUAGAUAACUACAGCCACCAUGAGAUUAGGACUAUAAUGAUAGCCAUGUCACUUCCACAAGAUUUCAGAGCUCUUGUCUCCAUCCUUUGUUUCUUACAUUUUUUUCUGCCUCUUAUGCACUAUUCCAUGUACCAUGAGGUAAAAAGCAUAAACCCAGACAUUGUACAUCCUUUAAUCCCAGCAUUCAGGAGACAAAGCCAUGCAGAUCGGAGUUCAAGGUCAAUCAACCUACAGAGCAAGUUUCAGGAAAGCCAAACUUAGGCAGUGAGGCAACUGGAAAACAGAAAGCUGGUAAUAGAAUAAGGGGGCCAUGUUUCAGCCCCAGCAAGCAGCAGAGCUUGGCAGCUUUGGCCAUGUGGCUCUGGAUUUGAAAUCCAUAAUGGAAGGGACUACUGGAACAAUUGAUGCUGGCUAGCUGGAGCUAAUAGUGGAUUAAGAGCAUCAUUGAGAUAAAAUUUUCUAGGAAGUGUUUUCUGAGGCACAAAGACACUGUGUUGCAGAGAUGACCAAGGUUGUACCCUGUGCCUCAGCUGUACUUGGUAAUGUGUAAGAGUCACCCAGUUGACACUGUUUUUGAAGAAAUAAAGGGGUCAUGAAGAGCAGCUGAGGCUUGGCACUGGGAGAGGCUUUGGAAGGCCAUUGGUGAAAAUGCAGCCUCAGUUGCAGUUGAUGGCCUAGGACUGAAGGGAUCAUGCAAAGAACUUGAGAAAUGGCAACAUGAAGAGAACCUGUGAGAGGCUAUUGGUGAAGCCUAGUUGCAGCAGAAGGCUCCAACAUAUUGGAGAUGCCAGUACUAUGGAAUGACCACCAAGAACAACAACAGCAGUUGAGUGGAGUCAACCUGAGCUUAGAGUGCUACAGAGGGCAGAAAAGUGACACCAGCCCUUCAGAGGAGCCCAGAAGAUCACAUGUGGAGCCCAAACAUUGGAACAAGAAGCUGUGAAGUUGAAGUUGGAGAACCCAAGAUGUUAAAGAUGCCAGAGCUGUGGGAUACUGUAUUAGUCAGUGUUCUCCAGAGUCACAGAACUUAUGGAUAGUCUCUCUAUAGUAAGGAAAUUUGUUAUGAUGACUUACAGUCUGCAGUCCAACCCCCCAACAAUAAUUAUCUGUGAAUGGAAAGUCCAAGGAUCUAGUAGUUGGUCAAUCCCACAAGACUAGUUGUUUCAGCUGGCCUGCUGUAGAUGUAGAUUCCCAACAGAUGUGCUGGCAAGAAGUGCAGGCAGGAUGAGACGAGCAAGUCUUCCUUCUAACAAUGUCCUUUUGUAGGUCUCCAGCAGAAGUUGUAGCCCAGAUUAAAAAUGUGUGCCACUACACCUGGAUCUGGGACUUGUUUUGUCCCUGACCUCAGAGAUCCCUUUGCCUUAGUCUCCUGGGAUUAAAGGCAUGUACUACCUUUCCUGCAUCUAAGAAUUUUCAUGGCCACUAUGCCUCAAGAUGUGAAUCAAAAUCAUGUCAAGAUCCAGGUCAAAAGCCUGUGUCUUGCAGCAUCAAGAUCUGGAUCACAGGUGUGCCCUCCAAUUCUAGCUUAGAUUGUAGCUCAUUCCAAAUACUGUAAAGUUGACAACCAGUAAUGGCCAUCAGACACCUGUGGAGGAGCUGCUAACAGGGAGUAGAACCAGCCCAGGAGAAAGAACUUUGUUUCAGUCAACAAAGAUGAAAAGGGAGUUGGAGAUCUGAAGAUGCUUUGACAUUGAACAUGAUGCACAGGUUGGCGUUUGCUGUUUUCUUGCCUUGCUUUGGAGAUUACAGUUAAGUGAUUGGAUUAAUUCCAGAAGAGACUUUAAAUGUUGGAGUUUUACCAUCAUUGAAACUGCUAUCGACUAUGGGGACUUUGAAAGUUGAACUAAAUGUAUUUUUUGAUUAUGCUAUGGCUAGAUAUGGCCCCCAUAGAGUCAUGCAUUUGAAGAAACCUAUGGGGACCAGGAAGUUGUAAUGUGGUAUGCUUGGCCCAGGAGUGACACUUUUAAGAGGUUUAGCUUAAAUACCUCUUGUCGGAGGAAGCACGUAACUGUGGGAGUGGGAAAUGAGACCCUCUUCCUAGUCAUGUGGGAGCCAGUCUUCUGGCAGUCUUCAGAUGAAGAUGUAGAACUCUCAGCUCCUUCGGCACCACGCCUGCCUGGAUACUGCCAUGUUCUGCCUUGAUAAUUGAACCUCACCCUGUAAUGCAGCCCCAAUUAAAUGUUGUCCUUCCUUGAGUUGCCUUAGUCAUGGUAUCUCUCCACAGCAAUACAAAACCUCACUAAGACAGCAUGUAUGUUGUAAUGGCAUUCUUAGUUGUCAACUUGACUACAUCUGAAAUCAUCUAAAACCAAAGUAGUUCAACACACCUAUCAGGGAUUUCCCUUAUCUCAAUCAUCUGAAGUGGGACGAUCCACCUUAAAUCUGGAUCUUUUGAUGUGGGAAGAUCCACCUUAAAUCAAGGACAUACCUUCUACUGGUGAGUAGAGAGAGAGAGAGAGAGAGAGAGAGAGAGAGAGAGAGAGAGAGAGAGAGAGAAGAGAGAGAGAGCGCCCUAACUAAUACAUGUAUGGAGGCCAGAGGACCCAUUGUAUUAAUCAAUUCAUUCCUUCUACCGUGUGCCGGCAGAGUCUUCUUGCAGCUAGGCUUUUCUGAGAAUGACUCUCUGCGGUUAUUUUCUGUUUAUCUUGUAGAGGAGGGACUUGGAGAACCUGGUUAAUUUCAGGGCCUUCCUAAAGCUAUUUUGGGCUGUUUACUGUCUUAAUGAGCUUCCCUGCGGGAUGGAAUGUUUCAGUCUUGGAGGAAACUGCUAGACAACAGCUCUGGAAAGAAGCAAAGAGAAGUGGCUCUCUGUGAGCCUGCAUAGUGAAUUCCAAAGUAGCUGGGACUAUACUGUGAGACCUUAUCCCAAAUUAAUCAAUUAAUCAAUCAAUCAAAAAUGCCAUAUGCUCCAAUAUAAAUGGACUUUAAGCCUAGUGAUGGAUAAAGUAGCCUCAGAAGAUCAUCUUUGAUUUUCAUAACUGCCCCUUCUCAUACCUCAUAGAAGGGAAAUCAGACAUAAGUGCAUUAUGUGCUGCUCAGAACCAGGCCCUCUUUCAAUGAGCUACUCCCCAGACCCUUAUUUGCUUAUUUCUAAGACAUUUUCAUGUGCCCUGAUAUGAUUAACAAUGUGUCAAACUGAGCAGUGGUAGUGCUCACCUUUAAUCCAGGCACUCAGGAGGCAGAGGCAGGGAGAGCUCAAAAGUUCAAGGCCAGCCUGGUCUACAGAGUAAGUUACAGGACAGCCAGAGCUGCACAGAGAAACCUCUGCCUUGGGGUGAGGGGAAGAGUAACAUGGCUAGAGUGUUGGCUCCAUUCGUGGAAGGAGCAUGAGCAAGUUACCAUAGCAACACUGCUGAGGAAAAUUGCUCCUGCUCAACCACGUAACAUUAAGACCCACAGUGUUUGCUGAGCUUGGGUGGUUUUGAUACCAUUUGCUGCUAAGCACUCACUUGAUGGGCAUUUAAAGAGGAGCUUCUGUGGCCAAGGCUGAGAGUAGGGUUAGCCUAUGAACCUGAAGAUAAAUGUCGAGAAGACACCUUGAUGCUGUGUCCAGUUAGCAAAGCAGCAAUAGCAAGAGUCGCUGCCCAUGACCCCCAAAGCCAUGGUCUUUUGACCAGGUUUAAAAUACCAGAUUCUCUACUGCAGAGCAGGCCCCAAAUCCAGUAGGCUAGGGUUUACUCCCAUUACUGUUUCUUUUGUUCUUUAACACACAAGGGCCUCAUUGUGAUAUUUUUAUUUGCAUUGUUCUGGCUCCCGCACUAUUGCUGUGAUAAAACACCGUGACAGAAGGCAGCUUCACAGAGGAAAGGAUUUAUUUGGCUUAUACUUCCAAGUCAUACUCCAUUACUGGUGGUGGUCAGGAUAGAAACUGAAGCAACAGCUUGAAGCAGAAACCAUGGAGGAAGGCUGCUUCCUGGCUGCUCAGACUCUCCCUUGGGUCACACCCUAUCUACACAGCCCAGGCCUACAGGUCCAGGGAAUGUCUCCACCCACAGUGGGCUGACCCUCCUACAUCAAUUCACAAUCAAGACAAUCCCUCAAAAGCAUGACUGUGGACCAAUAUAAACAAUUUACUCAAAUGAGACUUUUCUUUCAGGUGAUUCUAGGCUAUGUCAAUUGACGGUUGAAGUUUACAAGGACACAAAUAGCAUUACACCCCUCUGUCCCCUCAGUACUUCCUCCUCUCUCCAUCUAGUCCCCCUCUGACCCAGAAAUAAAACUUCCUGAUGCUUUCAUGCCUCAUAUUUCUCAAUGUUUAGCUCUUUUAAAAGAUAUAAAAGGGGGCUAGAGAGAUGGCUCAGCGGUUAAGAGCACUGACUGCUCUUCCAGAGGUCCUGAGUUCAAAUCCCAGCAACUACACAAUGGCUCACAACUAUCUGUAAUGGGAUCUGGUGUGUCUGAAGAAAGCUACAGUGUACUCGUAUACAUAAAAUAAAUAAAUCUUUAAAAAAGAUAUAAAAGAAGCUGGGCAGUAGUAGUACACACUUUAAUCUCGUUGAUUGGAAGGCAGAGGAAGGUGGAUCUCUGGGAGUUCAAGGUCAGCUUUGUCUACAAAGUGAGUUCUAGGACAGCCAGGGCUAUACAGAGAAACUCUGUCUCAAAAGCAAUCAAAAAGAAAAAAAUUUAUACUUUGGCAGUUAUAGAGGUAGCUGUCACCAAAACACGUAGGUAGAUUCACCUGCUGCAGUCAGUUGAACUGUGUUUUAAGACCGAUGGUCGUAACUUAACUAAGUGGCCGAAUCUUUGUAGGUUUUCAAAUCUGUGCGGUUAAGGUUUUCACCCCCAUACGAGGACACAUUCAGAAGGGAAAAUGUCUUUAAGACUCUUGGGAUCUUAGGGGUUUUCAGAACCACUUGACCAUCAGAAGAAUUUGAUAUUUUAUCCUACAUUCACAUUUAAAUUAGAUGUCCCACAUUUUGUAGGUAUUUCAACACUAUGUUAAGAGACAUGUGCCAGGGCUUUUGAGAUGACUUAGCAGGUAAGGGGGCUUGCUGCCAUGUUUGAUCUCUGGGACCCACAAGAGUCUAGGGAGAACCAACUCCUGUAAAUUGUCCUUUGACCUCAAUAUAUGCACCCACCCACACAGACCACACGGACACACACCAUUAAUAAAUCAAUGUGAGCCAGGCAUAGCACACAUACCUUUAAUCCUAAUACACACGAGGCAGAGGCCUGGAGGAAGUUUGGGUUUGAAACACACCCGAUCUGCUCCGCAUGGCACAUGCCAGAGCAGCCAGGGCUAAGGAAUGAGGCUGCCUCAAAAAUAAAAAGAAACCAAACAAUACACAUACUCAUACUCACAAUUAUGAGAGCAAAGCAGAAGAGUAUUUUAAGACAGAUAACAUGUAGCCCAUGAUAGCCUAAAACUCAUCAUGUGGCAGAAGCUGGCCGUGAACUCUUGACCCUACCACCUCUGCCUGAGGCCUGGGAUUAUAUUGUGUGCUACUACACCCAGUGUCUGUGAUGAUGGGAUCUUGAAUGUGUCAGGGACCUUUACCACUAAAUCGUGUCACCAAUCUCCUUAGUUAAUUUCAAACCAGUGAAAACAAAAGUCCUCAAUAGAACUAUAUAUUUCAUAAACUUUAUUUUAGGAAAAGAGCUUUGGUCAAUAUCUAGUACAAUUAUUAUGUUUACCUUAUAAACUUUUGUUUUUGAAACAGGGUUUCACUUUGUAACCUUGUCUGACCCAGAACUAAAUAUGCAGGCCAGGUUGACCUUGAACUCACAGAGGUCUGCCUGCCUUUGCCUCUUAAAUGCUGGGAUUAAAGACAUGCAUCACUAUCUACCCCAGCCCCCCAACCACCGUUCCCGGCAUGCCCCAUUGUUGCAAGAUAUUUGAUCACUCUGUGAAACCCUACAUGGAGUUAUAUAUCGGGAAAACCUGCUUAUACUUGAAGUGUAUCUGAGCUCUAGACACACCUUUAAUCCACUUUCUGCUUAUUGUAAACAGGUUUAAAUAAAGUUAACCAUAGGUCAAAAGGUGGAGCAAGAAACCAGUUGAUGGAGUGAACGUAGGAAAAAAAGUAAAGAGGAGUCAGGACGAUGAAGAGAGAGAUGCACAGGAAAUGAAAGGGAAGGACGUGCAGUUUGAGGGAUUUUUGAGACAGAGAACUGCCUUUCGGGAUGUUGGCUGAGGAAGAAGGUCAGGUAGGUGUUUUCUCUCAGCUAGCAGGUUUUCACCCCAGCAUCUGGCUCUCAAGUCUCCAUUGGUAAAUCGAAUGAUUGAGACUUUGUUAACAGCAACACCCCAUAAAAUUUAUGUUCUCUACUAGCACAUUAUUGUGACUUAAUUAUCAGCACCAUUCAACAUCUGCCCUGCUGCUCUGUCAUACUUGCUGUUAUAGUUUGGGUUUCUCUUGCUGUGGUCAAACACUAUGGUCAAAAACAACUUGGGGAAGAAAGUUUCUUUCAGCUUACAGCUCUACAUUACUGUCCAUCCCUGAGGGAAGGCAGGGCCAGAACCUGGAUGGAGGAGCUGAUGAAGAGGCUAUAGAGAAUGCUACUCACUGUCUUGUUCUCCACAGCUGGCUGGCUCAACCUGCCUGAUUUCUUCUAGCACCUCGGACUACCAGGCCAGGGGUGGCCCAGCCCGCCAUGAGCUGGGCUCUCCCUCAUCAAUCAAGAAGAUGUUCCACAGGCCAAUAUGGUGGGCAUUUCGUCACUUGAAGUUCCCUUUUUACAAGUGUUCUGACUUGUGUCAAGUUGACAUAAAAUUAGUCAGCACACCACUCAAUGUGUUCUUGUAAACAUUAGGUAUUCGCCCCGUGUGGCCACACAUUGUAAUCCCAGCACUCAGGAGGCUCCAGCAAGAACAAGCCCAAGAUCCUGCGGACCUAAUUAAUGUAAUGUGUCUUGACAAUGGAUAUCUGUUUAUGAUAUCAAAAUACCUAGGAUACCUACAAUGCUUGUGGUCUGCCCUCCCCUGACCCCGGCCUAUACCAUCUUCAGUCUCCACAGCAGCUGAAGCCACCAUGUGCCAUCGGGGCCAGUCCUUCCUGUCAACACCUGAACGAUAGACUCAUAAAUAUAGACUCUGCCUAUAUCACUUCAACACUGUCUUACUGCACCUAGGAACUAAGUUAUGAUUUCCACAUUUUUCGGUCACUUUGUACCUUUCUAGUAUUGAAAAAACUCCUCUAAAUACCUGUAUUUACUAUUGAUUGGGGGUAUUUUGUGAAGUUGCAGUCUUGAGUUGUAAUUUUUUUUCCAGAAAAGAAUACAAAUCACUUCUUGUCUGUAAAAAGAUAUAAAACCUCUUAAAUUUUCUCGCAAA